GGAGCGUUCUGUAAGCCUGCGAAGGUGUGCUGUGAGGCAUGCUGGAGGUAUCAGAAGUGCGAAUGCUGACAUAAGUAACGAUAAAGCGGGUGAAAAGCCCGCUCGCCGGAAGACCAAGGGUUCCUGUCCAACGUUAAUCGGGGCAGGGUGAGUCGACCCCUAAGGCGAGGCCGAAAGGCGUAGUCGAUGGGAAACAGGUUAAUAUUCCUGUACUUGGUGUUACUGCGAAGGGGGGACGGAGAAGGCUAUGUUGGCCGGGCGACGGUUGUCCCGGUUUAAGCGUGUAGGCUGGUUUUCCAGGCAAAUCCGGAAAAUCAAGGCUGAGGCGUGAUGACGAGGCACUACGGUGCUGAAGCAACAAAUGCCCUGCUUCCAGGAAAAGCCUCUAAGCAUCAGGUAACAUCAAAUCGUACCCCAAACCGACACAGGUGGUCAGGUAGAGAAUACCAAGGCGCUUGAGAGAACUCGGGUGAAGGAACUAGGCAAAAUGGUGCCGUAACUUCGGGAGAAGGCACGCUGAUAUGUAGGUGAAGUCCCUUGCGGAUGGAGCUGAAAUCAGUCGAAGAUACCAGCUGGCUGCAACUGUUUAUUAAAAACACAGCACUGUGCAAACACGAAAGUGGACGUAUACGGUGUGACGCCUGCCCGGUGCCGGAAGGUUAAUUGAUGGGGUCAGCGCAAGCGAAGCUCUUGAUCGAAGCCCCGGUAAACGGCGGCCGUAACUAUAACGGUCCUAAGGUAGCGAAAUUCCUUGUCGGGUAAGUUCCGACCUGCACGAAUGGCGUAAUGAUGGCCAGGCUGUCUCCACCCGAGACUCAGUGAAAUUGAACUCGCUGUGAAGAUGCAGUGUACCCGCGGCAAGACGGAAAGACCCCGUGAACCUUUACUAUAGCUUGACACUGAACAUUGAGCCUUGAUGUGUAGGAUAGGUGGGAGGCUUUGAAGUGUGGACGCCAGUCUGCAUGGAGCCGGCCUUGAAAUACCACCCUUUAAUGUUUGAUGUUCUAACGUGGACCCGUGAUCCGGGUUGCGGACAGUGUCUGGUGGGUAGUUUGACUGGGGCGGUCUCCUCCUAAAGAGUAACGGAGGAGCACGAAGGUUGGCUAAUCCUGGUCGGACAUCAGGAGGUUAGUGCAAUGGCAUAAGCCAGCUUGACUGCGAGCGUGACGGCGCGAGCAGGUGCGAAAGCAGGUCAUAGUGAUCCGGUGGUUCUGAAUGGAAGGGCCAUCGCUCAACGGAUAAAAGGUACUCCGGGGAUAACAGGCUGAUACCGCCCAAGAGUUCAUAUCGACGGCGGUGUUUGGCACCUCGAUGUCGGCUCAUCACAUCCUGGGGCUGAAGUAGGUCCCAAGGGUAUGGCUGUUCGCCAUUUAAAGUGGUACGCGAGCUGGGUUUAGAACGUCGUGAGACAGUUCGGUCCCUAUCUGCCGUGGGCGCUGGAG
rnacentral:rRNA from 1 species